ensembl:lncRNA
UUUUUCUGGUGAUCCCUGCAUGCCUGAGGUCUUCUGAAGGUAAGAGAGAAUAGAUCUGAAUCCACAUGUGUACAAGAAAUAGGAGUCCUGAGCAUCCACUGCUUCCUAUCAUCCUUUGUUUUCUGUCUGUGGGAAUUGAGCCAAGGCCUGUGUGGUGCUUAAGCUGUCUGCUGGGUUAAACCACAGCAUUAUAGAAAUCCAUUCCCUAUAGAACUCUGGAUCCAACAGUGAAAAGGCACUUACAAUGUGACUUUGAAGAUGGAAUUCCAACAGUACAAUGAAAGACAAAGAAAGCUACUCUAUACAUAUCUUGGUAUUGCAGGGAUCUGGGAAGGGGACUGCAUAUUUAAGUGUAAAGUAGGGAUACCAAGCAUCUAUUCUGUGGCUGAAUCUGAGGAGGUCACAGGGAAAACGUUCAGCUCACAAAGCAAAAAUGUUUGUGUGGGAGGAGGGUAGGUCAGAAGAAGUAAAGAGGAGUAUUGAUUGAGGUCCUAUCUGAAUUCCACCUAAAUCACUGUAAAGUAGAAAUUUCUCCAUCAGACUCAAGAAGGCCUUGGUAGUUAUGUCCUAUUUUUAUUGUAGUUCAGUGACUGGGUACCAUAGUAACUUCAUAAUUAUUGCUGGGCUAAGCAAUACCUCUGAUUCUAAUUAACAGAAGUACUGUCAGAUCUCAUGUGUUACUGUAGCAGUAGUUUUUCUACCCUGUUUGGGACCAUAUUUGUUUCACUAGAGCAGUGAAAACGUAAUAUACACUACAUAUAAUUCCAAAUGAGGUAUAUUAAAUUUCUUACAUUUAAUGCCAUAUACUGCCUUUAAAUUAUUGGAGUUUACUUUUCAAACUUCAUAUUAAAUUUAUCCACUGAUGACAUUUCUGCAGGAAAAAAAUGGAAAAGUUGACUCCUAAGACUUAGGGAAAUCUAUAGGAAAGGAACCAACUUCUCAAAUUGUCAUUUACAUUUGUGCUUUCGAGUCUGGAAUACAUGUACAGAUCAGAUAGCAUUAAAUGUAAAUAAAAAUAAGCAUUAGUUAAUUAGUUCCUACCAAACAAACAAACAAACAAAAGAAACAGUGACACUGAAACUAGUACUUCUACAAUUGCUGCUCCAAAAGUAAUGUCUUCUAUUUUAUUCUGUUGGUCCACUGUGUCAGAGGUGGAUGUUGGUGGUAUGGAGCUAGAGGUUGAAUCUUCCCACCAAUUACAUUCCAUUACAUUUUGCUGCCACACAACAGGUGGCAGCAGAGGAGCAGUGUGACAAAUAGUGUGGAGUACAUAUGAAGCAAAGGUGUGAUUACAAUCAAGGUACAUGUAAUUGAAUUCCUUCACAUCGAAAGAAAAAAAAUGGCACCUAUUUUCACCAAUGCUUGUUGAUUGUUGAUGGAGACCAAACAGUGGAUGUAGCCCAGUGAGGUAGUGGGUGGUGCAUUGCAACAGUGACAGUAGAUCAUGUCCACUGGUGAAGAUCAUUAUGAGUGUGGUAUGCAGGCUCUUGUUCAUUACUGGUGGAAAUGCAUACGUAAUGGUGAUGAGUGUGUUGAAAAAUAGUGUUCUAUAGCUGAGGAUUUACUCUAUCAUAUAGUGUUAUUGUGCUCUUUGUAUUCAUUUUAUUUUCCAUGGAAAAAAUUGGAGGCGUUACUUCUGGAGUGACCUAUGGUAUAUCACCUGCAGUGCUCAAUGAACUCCUUACGUUUGAAAAUACUUAUUGCUGUUUUGUUUAUAACAGCAUCAUAAAUUUCAUCUUAACUAUAUUCAAAUUUUUCAAGGUUGUG